rnacentral:rRNA from 1 species
UACGAAGGGGGCUAGCGUUGCUCGGAAUCACUGGGCGUAAAGCGCACGUAGGCGGAUCUUUAAGUCAGGGGUGAAAUCCCAAGGCUCAACCUUGGAACUGCCUUUGAUACUGGAGAUCUUGAGUCCGGAAGAGGUAAGUGGAACUGCGAGUGUAGAGGUGAAAUUCGUAGAUAUUCGCAAGAACACCAGUGGCGAAGGCGGCUUACUGGUCCGGAACUGACGCUGAGGUGCGAAAGCGUGGGGAGCAAACAGG